UGGCAUGACCAUUUGGACAGCGGUCAGUGGUCAUAUGGUGUGAGGCAGUCUAAAGGUUGCUUGAUAUACACAGUGGCAGUUGCCCAACAGUCAGCGGAAUCCACUGACAGAUAAUCUGAUGACGUCAUGGUGGUCAGUGACAGUCAUCUGGCUGGCUAGACUGAGAAAGGCAGAGCUUGAAGUUGGUCGCAUUUGGUGGUUGACAGACGCCGGAAACUGACCAGCAUCUUCUUGGAGACCACUGGACACUGCCCACGGAAAUGUCACACAGAGAGAUGAGAGCCCUUCCCGAUCUCCAGCACCCACCUUGAGAUCUGCGGUCGCCAUGACAACUUGAAAAUGACGAAACAGACUAUGCCAUCACCCAGUUGCUGCUUUUUAUGAGCAUUAUUCUCCGUGGUGCCAGUCAAUCAGGAAGAUUCACUCCAGGGGUGACGAUGACAGAUCAAACAGGUGAGGAAGGAAUUCACAUGAGGGCCCUUCGCCCGUGUUCUUCAGACCUGAACAUGUAUUCUGAAUGGACCUUUAACAACUCGGUCAAACUCAAUAUCUUCAGAACCAACAGCUGUCUUGGAGAAAUGAACAUUUCACAACGAAAUAAAUUUGAAAUAUGAAGUCCAAGAAUGGAAUUAUCUUGUUUAAAGUGUGUUUAUAAAUACGAAUAUUCGUAAACCGGUGAUUCGACAUAUGCCCAUGCUGUGAAUCACGUGCCAUUGUAUCAUUAGAAAAGAUUUUCACGAAAUGUAUUUUCUUUUACCCUGUAAAAUUGCAAAUCAACUGCACAAUGACAUAUACCCGGAACUGUAAUUUAAUUUAUCUUGAUUUGAAUAAAACGUAUGUAUGUACCA